GUUACAGAAGUCUUACGUGAAAUUGACUUGCGCAUCUGACAGACAGUUAGUUUCUUCCGAUCCUCAUAAUCGCAGCUAAAAUGUCAACGCAGAAUGGCUAAGGACUUCCUUAGUAAGGCAUGCUGCAGACUCAGCAUUCAGCACGCCCAUGGCAAGACCUGAAGUAAAGUGUAUGAAGACUGAAGAUGUUUCGUGUUGUUCUAUCCUCUGGAUCUGUCUGACAGUAGGCUACAUGAUUGGUCCCUGUGACACACAGCCUUGAUCUGCAGCCAGCAAGCUGAUAAGCCUGGAUGUCUUGGCAGAAAAUGUCCGCUUUGUAAGGACCCCCAAAGAUCAUUGCCACGUUAGGGGAAAUGAUGUGCACUCAUUGCGGAGAACUUGAAGUAACAUAAUCUGUCACUACAUCCCAGCCCCGGGACAAGGCCAAUCACGCUGAGCUGAAUUGCCCUGAAUAGAAAUAAAAUGAUGUAGUAAUUUCUGGAGUCGGAUCCUGUGAUCAUGGGAGGAAUGAUUGUCAGCAUUGGUGACAAGUAUGUGGACAUACUGUAUCGACAAAGACAAAAAAAAA